CACUGGCUAGCAGUUUGCAGGUGAAGAAGCUCUGUUGGUGACUUUAAAGGCAUAUUCUCCUGAUGCAGCUGUGAUUUCUCCACAAGUAUCUUGCGAGAAAGAGAGCUAAAGGACCAGAAGAGGAAAAAAGAAAUGGCCAGUUCUCAGGGACUGCUGACAUUCAGGGAUGUGGCCAUAGAAUUCUCUCAGGAGGAGUGGGGAUGCCUGAACCUCGUUCAGCGGGAAUUGUACAGGGAUGUGAUGUUAGAGAACUACGGACACCUCCUCUUCCUGGGUCUUGCUACAUCUAAGCCAGACCUGCUUACCCUUUUUGGAACAGAAGAAAAAGUCCUGGGAUGCGAAGUGAAGGAAGACAGUCGCUGUACAACCAGGUCUUGCUGUUUCUAGCCUGAAUCUGGUCACCUUGUUUGGAAGAGGAAAGAGCCCUAGGACAUAAAGAGGAAGGAGGCAGUAGUCAUACACCCAGAUCCAUUUCUACUGGUGUGAAAAUGCCACCUUCAUGCAGCAUUGAUUAAGGAAAGCAAUUUGAUUGACA